GAUCCCUUGCAAGUUCCACCAUGUGAGGAUACAGGGAGAAAAUGGCAGUCUAUGAACCAGGAAGCAAGUCUUCACCAGAACCCAGCUGUGCUAGCACCCUGAACUCAGGCUUUCAGCCUCCAGAACUAUCCUCAGAGCUUUAUAGCCUUUCAGUUGAGAAAUAUGAAACACUGAAAAUCAAAAACAAAUGCUGGAAAUCUUCUAUCAGGAGUUCUUCUACAGAUUGAAAACCUGCACAGUAGAGAAUACAACCUAAGGAGUAUUUUACAUGCCUUCCUUUGUAUCAGGGCAGACUCAUGAUUAGUGGACUUGGAAGUUCAUAAAAUUUGGAGGGUCCUCUUUAAGAAAGAGAGGAAAAGGUUAUAAAUACAAAAUUAGAUGCAAAGGGCAGAGUGCUACACCUAAAAGAUCGUGGAUCUCCUAAUAAUGAGGAAGAGGAACGGAUAUUAAAGACAAAAUUAGCAUGUCCGCCACAGUUAUACUGUAUCUCUUUAUAUGAAUCUAUGAUUCAUGAGAAGACUAAGACAGAUGAGCAUUCAAAAUGAGCCUGCCACCAUGUAAGAUAUGCCUUUCACCUUCAGCCAUGAUUGCGAGGCCUCCCCAGCCUGAUGGAAUUAAAAACCAUGCCUUUCCUAUGUGGAUAAUCAGCAAAGCUGAGGACAUCGGGAAGCAACUCAGGAUUGCCAGUUUACAGCUCUUCUGGAUGUGCACUGGUUAAUGCAUGGAAUUCAGCAACAGCAGACUUUGUUCCUUUGAUGGAUCCAGAAGAUCGCCACAUCAAGGAAUAUGGUGGUAAAACUGCAAGAUAAUCUGCCACCCCUAACAACUAUAGAAGUUCUAAGGAUGUUAGAGACUCAUAGAGAGGAAUUCUAAUGGCCAUACUUGAACCGUUGCAGCAAUACACUCAGAAGAUUGGUGAAAGAAAAGAAAGGCAUUUUGAAAGUGAUUUUCAAAAAACAGUUAAUCCAGAAUUCCAUAUUUAGCAAAAUUAUACUUCAAGAAUGAAUGUGACAUGAUAAUGUCAAUGAAAAGAAAAACAAAAUAA
ensembl:lncRNA LINC00448 long intergenic non-protein coding RNA 448